AUGUUGGUUAUACGGACAGUCUUUGAGAAGAGACUUGAAUGUCUCCCAUGUAUGACAGAAAUUCUCACCUACUUUUUUAUUGAAACUCAAGAUCUCAAUCCUCAACCU
rfam:Capsicum annuum cultivar Zunla-1 chromosome 3, whole genome shotgun sequence